CGCCACCGACAAACCUCGGAGUGACGCGAGAGCACCCAAACCACCUCGCAGUUUCUCCAGUAUGUUUGUUGUGUCUCGCUGAUUUGCCGUUUUCCACUUCUUGGUCUUGGUGAGCGCUACACAUCCGCGAGAAUGUAACCCGCAACGUACAAGAAGGCGACGCGGCGGCUGGACGGCGCGGCGUUUGACCUCGUAUUUGCACAUCUGGCCUACCAAAAGCCCGAUUUGUCCCAUUUGGAGGAACCCGAAAGCGCUGGUAUUUACCCCAAGGGUGAAUCACCUGAAAAGGAAUGAAUUGAGAGGAUUGAGGAAACUCAGGGUUUAACGGGAUCGGCUCCAAGGGUGCGAAAGGCGAACAGGUGCGAGCGGCGGAACCCCGCGGGCCCCUCGACUUGCGGACGGUAGAAGAGAAGAAGUCGGUCACAACCAUGGUUGAUGUUGUCGAAAAGCGUCUCCGAGCGGCUAGAGUUGCAGGUCAAAGAGAUCGUCAUGGGUGAUUAGAAAUGUAGGGAAUUAACAGUAUGUGAAGGUGCAGAACCUUUUAAAGGAAAACGAACUACAAGACCGAUGAUCAAAAAAAUGAAUUCAUCAACAAAUACGUUUUUAUUUAUGUAAUAAACUUUGUCGAUAUGUUAAUAUUUUUUAUUUACUUGCAACUGAAAAUUUUAUUUUUUAAUCUAUUAAGCCAGGUGUUUUCAACUUAUCUAAACUGAAGCUUAUUCACUACUUCAAAAGUGACUGAAGAACAAUAAUAAGUAAGGCAGGUGAGUUCAGUAAAUGGGCUUUUUCCUCAAAUAUAAAAUUCUGCAAGCAGACUUUCAAACAUCAACAUACAAUAUAACAAAUACGUAGAGAUUUUUUGCUGAUGGUUAUGCCUGACAGUAAGUAUUUGUUUAUUUAUACUAUUUUCUUUCUUUUUGUACGCAGUAAGACUUUUUAGUUCCAACAAAAAUAAAAAUGCCUUUAAAAGGUUUUGAGUUAAUAACUUGCUUGCAGCAGGAUUCUAUCGAAACAUGGUAUCUCUAAUGGGUGAAGAUAAGCAUAAGAUUAUUUUCAUACAAUUUGUUUUCUCUGAGUAUUAAAUUUCUUUUUUUGUACAUGUUUUCGCCAGUUCCUUGUGCAUCAUUUUAAUUUUAAGUCCAUCAAUAAAAAACUAUAAAUGUUGGAAUUUAGUUUACAUUUUAUAAUUAUUAAGUCACUAUUUAGUACAAAUCACAUUUGCGUAAAAUCAAUCCAAAAGUAUUUUUUGCGAUGAAAAAGAUAUGGGAAGUUACUAGUAUUGGACGUAAAUAUUUUUUGACAGUGUAUUUGAAAUUUAGAGGUUCUUUUUAAUACUUAAUUGUUUGUGUUUCAACAAAUUAUAUUUUCUAUAGUUUCUAACAUUUAGUAGAAUUACUGUUUAAUAAAGAUUGUCAGUUGAAUGUUGAGUUUAAGUCCAAGUUAUUAAAUUGACUAGGAAUAGUGAAGAUAAUAAAUACGUAUUUUGUAUUAUGAA